ACCAGAGCCCUAUAUAGUGGUACUACUAUAGACCAGAGCCCUAUUCCCUAUAUAGUGUACUACUAUAGACCAGAACCCUAUUCCCUAUAUAGUGGUACUACUAUAGACCAGAGCCCUAUUCCCUAUAUAGUGGUACUACUAUAGACCAGAGCACUAUUCCCUAUAUAGUGGUACUACUAUAGACCAGAGUCCUAUUCCCUAUAUAGUGGUACUACUAUAGACCAGAGCCCUAUUCCCUAUAUAGUGGUACUACUAUAGACCAGAGCCCUAUUCCCUAUAUAGUGGUACUACUAUAGACCAGAGCCCUAUUCCCUAUAUAGUGGUACUACUAUAGACCAGAGCCCUAUUCCCUAUAUAGUGGUACUACUAUAGACCAGAGCCCUAUAUAGUGGUACUACUAUAGACCAGAGCCCUAUAUAGUGGUACUACUAUAGACCAGGGCCCUAUUCCCUAUAUAGUGGUACUACUAUAGACCAGAGCCCUAUUCCCUAUAUAGUGGUACUACUAUAGACCAGAGCCCUAUUCCCUAUAUAGUGGUACUACUAUAGACCAGAGCCCUAUUACCUAUAUAGUGGUACUACUAUAGACCAGAGCCCUAUUCCCUAUAUAGUGGUACUACUAUAGACCAGAGCCCAAUUCCCUAUAUAGUGGUACUACUAUAGACCAGAGCCCUAUUCCCUAUAUAGUGGUACUACUAUAGACCAGAGCCCUAUUCCCUAUAUAGUGGUACUACUAUAGACCAGUGCCCUAUUCCCUAUAUAGUGGUACUACUAUAGACCAGAGUCCUAUUCCCUAUAUAGUGGUACUACUAUAGACCAGAGCCCUAUUCCCUAUAUAUAGUGGUACUACUAUAGACCAGAGCCCUAUUCCCUAUAUAGUGGUACUACUAUAGACCAGAGCCCUAUUCCCUAUAUAGUGGUACUACUAUAGACCAGAGCCCUAUUCCCUAUAUAGUGGUACUACUAUAGACCAGAGCCCUAUUCCCUAUAUAGUGGUACUACUACAGACCAGAGCCCUAUUCCCUAUAUAGUGGUACUACUAUAGACCAGAGCCCUAUUCCCUAUAUAGUGGUACUACUAUAGACCA
rnacentral:lncRNA from 1 species